AGAGUUUGAUCCUGGCUCAGAACGAACGCUGGCGGCGUGGAUUAGGCAUGCAAGUCGAACGAUCCCUUUAGCAAUAGGGGGAUAGUGGCAAACGGGUGAGUAACGCGUGGGUAAUUUUCCUUAAGGCUCGGGAUAACCUGACGAAAGUCGGACUAAUACCGGCUAAGACCACAGCCCUUCGGGGCUGCGGUUAAAGAUGGGGACUCUAAAAAUGGGCCUGUCACCUUAAGAUGAGCCCGCGACCUAUCAGCUAGUUGGUGAGGUAACGGCCCACCAAGGCGAUGACGGGUAGCUGGUCUGAGAGGAUGGUCAGCCACACUGGGACUGAGACACUGCCCAGACUCCUACGGGAGGCUGCAGUCGAGGAUCUUUUGCAAUGCCCGAAAGGGUGACAAUGCGACGCCGCGUGUGGGAUGAAGGCCUUCGGGUUGUAAACCACUGUCAGCCCGGAUGAAGGCGGGAGGGUUAAUAACCUUUCCGAUUGACGGUACGGGCGGAGGAAGCCACGGCUAACUCUGUGCCAGCAGCCGCGGUAAUACAGAGGUGGCAAGCGUUGUUCGGAUUCACUGGGUGUAAAGGUCAUGUAGGCGUCCCGUUAAGUCGAGUGUGAAAUCCUAUGGCUCAACCAUAGAACUGCGCUCGAUACUGGCGGGAUUGAGUACGGGAGAGGUAAGCGGAAUUCCAGAAGUAAGGGUGAAAUCUGUAGAUAUCUGGAGGAACACCAUUAGCGAAGGCGGCUUACUGGUCCGAUACUGACGCUCAAAUGAGAAAGCUAGGGGAGCAAACAGGAUUAGAUACCCUGGUAGUCCUAGCCGUAAACGAUGUGCACUAGGUGCUGGCUCGCAAGGGUCAGUGUCGUAGCUAACGCGUUAAGUGCACCACCUGGGGACUACGGUCGCAAGGCUAAAACUCAAAGGAAUUGACGGGGACCCGCACAAGCGGAGGAGCAUGUGGUUUAAUUCGAUGCUACGCGAGGAACCUUACCUGGGUUUGACAUGCAAGUAGUAGGAACCUGAAAGGGCAACGACCCGUAUAAAUCGGGAGCUUGCACAGGUGCUGCAUGGCUGUCGUCAGCUCGUGUCGUGAGAUGUUGGGUUAAGUCCCGCAACGAGCGCAACCAUCGUCCUUAGUUGCUAACCCGCAAGGGAGCACUCUAAGGAGACUGCCAGUUUUUUAACUGGAGGAAGGAGGAGAUGACGUCAAGUCCGUAUGGCCCUUACGCCCAGGGCUACACACGUGCUACAAUGGCCGUUACAAAGGGUUGCCAAACCGCGAGGUGGAGCUAAUCCCAAAAAGACGGUCCCAGUCCAGAUCGGAGGCUGCAAUUCGCCUCCGUGAAGUUGGAUUCGCUAGUAACCGCAGAUCAGCCAUGCUGCGGUGAAUACGUUCCCGGGUCUUGUACACACCGCCUGUCAAGUCACCCGAGUCGAGUGCACCCGAAGCCGUUUGUCUAACCGCAAGGAGGACGACGUCGAAGGUGUGUUUGGUGAGGAGGACUAAGUCAUAACAAGGUA
rnacentral:rRNA from 1 species